UUUUUCUUUCGGUUUCUCUUCUCCCCUCUCUCUCUUACUUUCUCUCUCUCCCUCUCUCCUCCUUCCUCUCCCUGUCUCGCCAAAACCCCAAGACUGCGGCAAGGGAUCGCCGGCGAACAAAAGUGGCCGGCGGUCAGACCCCCGACGAAACUAGGAGAAGGUGAGAUGUGAGAGACGGAGGAAUUAUUGGCAUAGGUUGCUAGGGAUUUCGUAGGGUUGAUUUCAUGGAUUAACAAAAGAUGAACACGUCAUUUAUAGGACUCUCUAAGAACUCUAAACGAGACAGCUCAAGCUGUAUUUCAACACGCGUUAAUCAAGCGUUAAAGAUUCAAGUUCAUUUGCGUGGAUUUACCUAGAAUUGAGUCAUCGAGGACGCAACCUUAUCAGGGGUCGAUUCAGCCGCAGAGGACGAUGCACUUUAUUUCACCCAGAUGUUAGAUUCCCUGCACGGAGGGCAUCACGAUAUUUAUGAAAGAGCCAUGGGCAUUGGUAGCACUCGGACUUACUUGAGGGUGUCCUCCAUACCAAAAAUCGGCACUUCCAAUCAGGAGCUACGUCGCGAGGUUGCUGAUCUUAGAGCUCAGGUAGCUGAGAUGGAUAGUCUCAGGAAGGAGCUUAGGUCUCGGAUGCAUUGGAUUAAUAACAAUAUGGUUAAUUCUCAGGGCGCUCGUCUUGCUCCCACUGCUAAUGACUCACCAGCUUUUACCCGUCCUUCUCCAAUUCCUCAGCCUGCUGCCGAUAUACCACAUUCUACUCGUCCUACUUCGAAUGCUAACACUUCUACUUCUAGUGUACAAGGUUUGUCACAGGAGAAUCUUACUAGGACAUUUGCAGACUUGAGGCAUUCGGGCUUGUCCCAGGAGGACAUUCUUCAAGGAAUUUCUUCUCUUCCUUGAUUGGAUGGAUCAAGCCACUCCUAUCUUAUAUUUUGGACGUAUGAGUCAUUUUGGAUAUUGGAGACAUAUAUAAUAUUGGAUGUUUUUUAUUGUGAGAUAUUGAGUAAUCAUUGCGUAAUACAUGUUUUGUCUCUAAUAUUAAGUUGAGUAAUCAUUGUGUAUGUAUAUAUAAUAUUGGAUAUAUAGCACUGUUUGAGA